rnacentral:misc_RNA from 1 species
UCUUGGGGCUGCAGGAGGCCU